CCUUCUAGCUUGCUCAGGAAUGCAGGACAAUAAAUCUUUCAACCUAAAAGCAUUUGCAACUUUAAAAGAAAAGAAAGAGGAGAUUCCAGAGCAGUGUUUUUAAUGCCUCUCCACGAUUUCUUGCUGUACUUAAGGAGAUCAAAAAGACUUGCUCAAAAAGACUUCUUGGAAGUUAAGGAGAGAAAGACCCGAGGUUCUUGUUCGAACACACAGAGGGGACAGAAUUCGUACGGACAGACAUUCCGUGAUAUGUCAGGCAGACAUCCAUGUGGAUAUACUGGGAUGAAAACAGUAACGUAAGUAUCCUUUUGUGUCUAAGUAUAGGUUCUAAUGUGUAAUCAGAUGAAUGUAAAUUUUCUUGCAUAUUCUGAACUAAAAAGAAGA
rnacentral:lncRNA from 1 species